rnacentral:rRNA from 1 species
AGAGUUUGAUUAUGGCUCAGAACGAACGCUGGUGGCGUGUCUUAUACAUGCAAGUCGAGCGGUCCAGCAAUGGAUAGCGGCGAACGGGUGAGUAACGCGUAAGCAAUCUGCCCCCUGCUCGGGAAUAGCCGUGCCAACGCGCGGAUAAUACCGGAUAUCGUGGGGCCCUGCAUAGGGCCUUGACAAAAGAUUUAUCGGCAGGGGAUGAGCUUGCGUCCGAUUAGCUAGUUGGCGGGCAACGGCCCACCAAGGCGACGAUCGGUAGCCGGCCUGAGAGGGUGAUCGGCCACAUUGGGACUGAGAUACGGCCCAGACUCCUACGGGAGGCAGCAGUAGGGAAUAUUGCACAAUGGGGGAAACCCUGAUGCAGCAACGCCAACCGUGUGGGAAGAAGCAUUUCGGUGUGUAAACCACUGUCGUGAGGGAAUAAGGCUGUUUUUCGGAGCAGUUGAAUGUACCUCGAGAGGAAGCACCGGCAAACUUCGUGCCAGCCGCCGC